rnacentral:rRNA from 1 species
GAUGAACGCUGGCGGCGUGCCUAAUACAUGCAAGUCGAGCGAACAGACGAGGAGCUUGCUCCUCUGACGUUAGCGGCGGACGGGUGAGUAACACGUGGAUAACCUACCUAUAAGACUGGGAUAACUUCGGGAAACCGGAGCUAAUACCGGAUAAUAUAUUGAACCGCAUGGUUCAAUAGUGAAAGACGGCUUUGCUGUCACUUAUAGAUGGAUCUGCGCUGCAUUAGCUAGUUGGUAAGGUAACGGCUUACCAAGGCAACGAUGCGUAGCCGACCUGAGAGGGUGAUCGGCCACACUGGAACUGGGACACGGUCCAGACUCCUACGGGAGGCAGCAGUAGGGAAUCUUCCGCAAUGGGCGGAAGCUUGGCGGAGCAGCGCCGCGUGAGUGAUGAAGGUCUUCGGAUCGUAAAACUCUGUUAUUAGGGAAGAACAAAUGUGUAAGUAGCUAUGCACGUCUUGACGGUACCUAAUCAGAAAGCCACGGCUAACUACGUG